GAUAUGGCUCAGGAUGAACGCUGGCGGCGCGCCUAACACAUGCAAGUCGAACGGACGAUGAAGAGCUUGCUUUUCAAAGUUAGUGGCGGACGGGUGAGUAACGCGUGGGUAACCUGCCUCAUACAGGGGAAUAGCAGCUGGAAACGGCUGAUAAAACCGCAUAAGCGCACAGUGCCGCAUGGCACAGUGUGAAAAACUCCGGUGGUAUGAGAUGGACCCGCGUCUGAUUAG
rnacentral:rRNA from 1 species